AGUGAAUAGAUACCCAGGUAGUCCUAGCCGUAAACGAUACUCGCUAGGCGUCGGCCACGGUGCGACCGUUGUCGGUGCCGUAGGGAAAGCCGUGAAGCGAGCCACCUGGGAAGUACGGCCGCAAGGCUGAAACUUAAAGGAAUUGGCGGGGGGAGCACCACAACGGGUGGAGCUUGCGGUUUAAAUUGGAUUCAACGCCGGAAAUCUUACCGGGACCGACAGCAACAUGAAGGCCAGGCUGAAGACUUUACCGGAUUAGCUGAGAGGUGGUGCAUGGCCGUCGUCAGUUCGUACUGUGAAAGCAUCCUGUUAAGUCAGGCAACGAGCGAGACCCACGCCCACAGUUGCCAGCGUACUCUCCGGAGUGACGGGUACACUGUGGGGGUCCGCCGCUGCUAAACGCGGAGGAAGGAA
rnacentral:rRNA from 1 species